GGGCCUAUCGCCUAGCCUGGAUAGGGCACUCGGCUUCGGACCGAGAGACAGGGGUUCAAAUCCUCUUAGGCCCA
rnacentral:tRNA from 1 species